GAUGAACGCUGGCGGCGUGCCUAAUACAUGCAAGUCGAGCGAACAGACGAGGAGCUUGCUCCUCUGACGUUAGCGGCGUACGUGUGAGUAACACGUGUAUAACCGACCUAUAAAAAUGAGAUAACUUCGGGAAACCGUAGCUAAUACCGUAUAAUAUAUUGAACCGCAUGGUUCAAUAGUGAAAGACGGUUUUGCUUUCACUUAUAGAUGGAUCCGCGCCUCCUUAGCUAGUUGGUAAUGUCACGUCUUACCAAGGCGACGAUGCGUAGCCGACCUGGGAGGGUGAUAGUGCCAACUGGAAGUGAAAAACGGGCCACACUCCGACGGGAGGCCGGAGCAGGGACUCUUGCGCAAUGGGAGAAAGGCAUAUGGAGCAACGCCGCGUGAGUGAAGAAGGUCUUCGGAUCGUAAAAUUGUGUUCUUAGGGAAGAACAAAUGUGUAAGUAACUAUGCACGUCUUGACGGUACCUAAGCAGAAAGCAACGGCUAACUACGUG
rnacentral:rRNA from 1 species